UUACGGUCUGCGCUGCGAGCGGCCGGCACAUCUCGGAGCAACUUGGUCCCCCGGCGGGACCCCCCUGAAGCACGCAGCUCACUUUGUGCCUCACAAACACAACCAGUGCAAGCAGAGCAUCGCAGUCGCAGGAACAAAAAAAAUGUGGCGCCUUUGUUUGAGUCUCAUCCACUCUAAUGAAAGACUAAUGGAACGCAGGCAGCCUGCCACCAGCAUGCACGUGAGCACCCCCGCACACACGCAGGAGCCCCCCAUCGCCCCCACCACCCACCCCCAACCCCCCUGCAGAGGCUCUCGGAUUUUAAUUAAGAAAAAAAUGAGGAAGAGGUUCCAUUUUAGCCAAAUUGGUCCCCACAGCAGCGAAGGUGAGGGGAUAAAAUGAGCGAUGGAGGAGUAAAGGGAGGCAGACGUGCAGAAAAAGACACGCUGGAGAGUAAAGCCGGAGAGAUAGGGGGGGGGGGGAGAUCUACGCUUCCUCUCACACCGCGCAGGACAUGUCUCAAACAAUGAAGACAUCCCCCUCCCGCCUCCUCCCGCCCGUCUUUUCACCCCACCGUCAUUAGAGAAAUGACAGAGCAGGUGCCCGAGUCCACGGCGAGAGGGAGAUGUCACCGUGCUCUUUGCGCCGCCGCGGGAACAAAAGAGGACGGGACCGAGCCAGAACUUCUCCCCAGCCACGUUAAAUGGCCUCCGGUGUAUAAAGUCACUCUUUUCAGGAUUUCUGUGCUAAAUUGCUGCAGGCGGCCGCUUGCCUGUCUGUUAAAAGCCUUUUGUGCCACGUGCUAAUGGCAGAAUACGGUUAACCUUUGGCGAGAUUAUCACACCGGUCGUUGCUGUUAUGUACAAGGAUUCUACCAGCUCGCGUGCCUUUUGUCUAAAAGUCACUUCACUUCUCCACUUCCUCCUCCAUCACUGCCUACAUGUCUAGAUUAUGUCCCCGCGCGGCUUUAAUCUCCUCAUUUGCCUGGCGCACGCGGUGGCCGGCGUCUCGUCAGGAGCCUCGGCGUAAAAAGCCAUAAUGUGUCACCUCCUGUCCGCGUUCUGCCAGCGACGCUCUUAACAACUUGCUGAAAAGGUAAUGCACGAGGCUCGGGCUAAUUAUAUUAAGUGACAAUUUAGCGGCUGAGGUUCCUUUUUAGCUUCCCAGCGCUCGCUCGCUCUCGUGGGUAAAUGUGCUGGUCUGUGGGUUUUUCGAGUGGCACUCAGUGUUUCAAGUCAAGCUGGUGUCUCAGCUUCUGACCCGGCUGCUUAAUGGCUGUUAUUUGUGGGAGGAAGGACUGGACUCUGCCAAUAUUGGCCACUCUGCCUCACACAUCUCCUACGCGUCCCCCCCCCCCCCCCCCCCCAUCCUUUGCCCCCUUUGCCUCUGCUGAUGGUAAUGGCCGUGAUGACAGGGGAAGCAGAAAAAGAGGCACGAAAGUAAAAAACACGGAGGGGGAGAAAUUUGGACGAGAAAGAAGAACGGAGGUAAAAGAAGAAAGAUGAAAAAUGACAUGAAGUGGGAAAGGGCAGAAAAAAAGGAUGCGGGAGCUCCUUUAUUAAAACUAUUAUUGUGCAGGACUUGAGAAUUCCCCCCGGGGCAGGGGUCCAUGUCGAAGCCCAUAUAAUUAACUAGAGGCUCAGCUACGGAUCAAUUACCAGACAAGCAAGUGAUAGCCGAAUCAAUGGAAGAUCAUCAGGCUCGUUAUCAGUGUUGCAACUCAUUAGAGAAAAAGUGAGGUAGUGGAAGAGAGGGAGAGCAAAAGGGGGGGGGGGGUGUAGGCAGGAGGAGAGGGCACGGCUGGUGGCAGCGGGAGCCCACAGGCUGUGCUGCUCCACAGCUGCCACUGGCUGGUGACGGAGAGCAGCCGGCUCGAGGACAGAUCGAUGGAGGAGGUUAACGCUGCGCCGCGGCUUCCUGAUCCCCAGCGACGCACGCUCAGCCUGCGACGCCGACCCCAGUGUGACGCACCGCGCGUUUACACGUAAUUGCGCUUAUGAAAUUAGAUGCUGACAUCAGCUGCGCCAGUAAAAAAAUUCUUUACAUUUGCUUACAUUACAUUUCAUUACGUUGCUCAUACAUAAAUGGGAUUACAGUAUAUUUAUAAACAAUCACUGCACAUUGUAACUUCUGCUGUCUUGACCUCUGACCUCCUCUAAAUGAGGGCCAGGCCUGGUGGACACACUGAAGCCACUUAAACCUGUGCAAUGCAUUAAUUAAUUACUUUGACUUGAUAAUUAAUAAAAUGUUUUAUUUGA